rnacentral:rRNA from 1 species
CAAGCGGUGGAACAUGUGGUUCAAUUCGACGCAACGCGAAGAACCUUACCUGGGCUUGAACCGCACAGGACCAGCUUGAGAAAUCAGGCCUCUCGCAAGGGACCUGUGUAGAGGUGCUGCAUGGCUGUCGUCAGCUCGUGCCGUGAGGUGUUGGGUUAAGUCCCGCAACGAGCGCAACCCUUACUCGUAGUUGCCACCCGCAAGGGGGAACUCUACGAGGACUGCUCCGGAUAACGGAGAGGAAGGUGGGGAUGAGGUCAAGUCAGCAUGGCCUUUAUGUCCAGGGCUACACACGUGUUACAAUGCGCGCCACAAAGCGUCGCGAACCCCGCGAGGGGGUACUAAUCGCAAAAAAGCGCGCUCAGUUCGGAUUUGCAGUCUGCAACUCGACUGCAUGAAGCUGGAAUCGCUAGUAAUGGCGCAUCAGUGCCGGCGCCGUGAAUACGUUCCCCGGGGCCUUGUACACACC